UCCCGUCUCAUUGUAACGACAUGCUCUCAUUGCUCCAGAGUUGGACUGUCACUGCAAGGUGUGUGUGGAAGAUAGGCUGCUAGCAGGCAGAGCUCAAACUUAGCACCCUUGGAAGCAGAAGGAGUUUUCACGGUGUCAGAAUGCCAGUGGUAAAAAGAGGAGAGAAAUAAAGUUGCACCAGUCGAAGCUCUCUGCAUCUUGUGUGGUUAAUCCAAGUGGGCUGCUACAGUGAAAACUCCUUGGCUGCAACAGACCUGCCAUCCCUGCAGAGAAGCUGACGCCAUCUCAUCUGUGAUCCAACUACCAACCUGAUACCAGCCAGCUGAUUCCACUCGCACCCACAUCCUGCACAGGCAAGAUUAAAAGGGACAGCACGCUUAAGGUACAACUAUGGAUGCUGAAAGAGACAUUGGGUGCCAAGGAGCAAAAGAAGACUAUUUAUACACACACACGCGCGCGCGCGCGCGUACAAGCUUACGGCAUAACUGAAGUGCCUUAAAUACUAACAUCAUAUUUUGAGGUCAAAAUAAUUUGUGAGCUGGUUCCCAACACAUAACAGUUCUUAAAUUGGUGAAUAUUUCAAGACAAAUGGCACAUGUUUAUGGAAUAAUAAAUCAUGACAUGUCUGUUUAUGAAAAGGUUUAAAGGGUGAAGCUCUUUAGCUAUAAAUGUCUACAGCGCUUACUGUAUUUACGACAUCUUUGUUGUUACUGUUUUAUGCAAAAAUCUCUUUGAAUGUCCAUAAUCUGUAAAUGCUUGAUAUAAUAAUUACUCUGUGGUAAAAGAUAACUACAGCUUAUAGACCCUUUUCAGUCACGUGACCUUCGUAAACGCGACCGCCAUUUUGGACAUGUAGUGGACUUCGGCUCGAAUCGGUUUGAAUGCGAGGAAGGCGACAAACAUAAAAGAAAAAGGAGCGAGAUGCAGAAAACUGUAUUUACUAGUUUACUGUAAUUAUGAUCUGGCAGCUAUUUACACCGGAUCCAGUGUAAAUAGCUGCCGGAGCCAACGUCCGAGCUUGCUGGAGUGCGCGCACUCUGGCCGGCCGCGAGCUAGCGCGCUCCGGAACCUCGGAAGUUGGUUCCGGCAGCUAUUUACACUGGAUCCGGUGUAAAUAGCUGCCAGAUCAUAAUUACAGUAAACUAGAAUGGAAUGUUAACAGCAAUGUAAUGCCUUUUCUGGCUAAUUUUAUUCGUCUUACCUCCAACAAAGUGGUCACUACACAAGCAUUGGUAUGCCGCUAUCCAUCUUCUCCGUCGGUCAGCAUCUACCGGGAUCCAAUAAAAUGAUAACCCUUGCCUUGUUUGUUGAUGGUUACUACAUCCAGGUGCACAACAAUAUAGUGGCAUGAUGGAAGUCUUGCUGAAAAUAAACACUUUCUUUGCUGCCAUUCCUCAAUGCUGGUUGUGGUAAACUACUGGUAGUACAUGUCCAAAAUGGCGGCCGCGUUUGUCGUGACGUCACGUGAAAAGGGUCCAUAGGUGUGAAUUCAGGCAUAAGACAAUCAAAAGCCAUGCCAGACUUAAAGCAGUUGCACAAACAAACAAGUUGUUACUCCCAACAGAGAAGACAGACAAUCAUACAGACACAGCAUUCAGGUCCAGCUCACGUGAGAGAAAGCUAACAGAGAGAGGCCAAGAAAUGCAUGACCAAGACAUCAAAAAACGUGAAAAAACAUUUAACAAGGCGACUCUUGGAAGCUAGUAGCAAGGGAGACUAGGACAAAAUUAAAAGCCCUCUGCUCAUUUGAAGACCUCAGUAAAUUACAUGAAGAUAUUCAAGCAAAGUACAAUGCUGUAAACCUGCAGUAUGAACCUAUUCUACGUAACAGUAACACCACGCCAGAGAUUGUCAAAAAAAUGGACACUUGUGUUAUGCUGAUAAAGGAAAUUCGUGACCUAAUAAGCAACCGUCUAGAGACUAUUAAUGAAGAUUAUAAUGAUCAACUUGAAAAGGAAAGAGUAAGAGAAACGUUAAACAAAAAUGAAUAUGGGUCUGUCUUUGAUCACACCAAAACUGAAACUGUAAGCUCAUCAGAGAGAUCAAGCAAACACUCUGGCUCAGCCAGUACCCACGGCAGUAGAGUAGAUGCAGAAGCAGAGCUUGCUGCUAAGCCGGAACAAUCAAAGGCCAUGGAAGAAAUUCAAGCACAUUUUCACAAGUUAGAAAGUGAAUGUGUCGUGUAUUGGUUGUAAUACUGUAGUUACCAAUAGGUGGUGCUGUGACAUUACAAGGCUGUGCUGUAUAUAAUGAAGCUGCACCAGUAAACGUUGUUCAGUCUGCUA